rnacentral:rRNA from 1 species
UACGUAGGGGGCAAGCGUUGUCCGGAUUUAUUGGGCGUAAAGAGCGUGUAGGCGGUUUGGUAGGUCCGCUGUGAAAACUCGAGGCUCAACCUCGAGACGCCGGUGGAAACCAUCAGACUAGAGUCCGGAAGAGGAGAGUGGAAUUCCUGGUGUAGCGGUGAAAUGCGCAGAUAUCAGGAAGAACACCCGUGGCUAAGGCGGCUCUCUAGUACGGUACUGACGCUGAGGAGCGAAAGCAUGGGUAGCGAACAGG